UUUUGAGGAGUUUCUGACACAGAACCCUGGCCCCUCGCCGGUUAGUACAUCUCAAACUAUUCACCCAAAGUAUACUGUUUAUUCAACACAAUCAUAUAUCCCCUUAACAUGUCUUUUCAACAUCCAGGGAACCGGUGGAUCUACCGUUGGUGGUGGUGCUGGUCUUGGCAUCACUCCCGAGUCACGGAGCCCGGUCACUCCUAUCCACGGAGGCGGUGGCGGUCUUGGCGGUAGCGCUGCCGCUAGCAGUGAUGACCUAGGCUUCGGCGGACUUGGCGGUGACGACCUUGGCGGUGGUGGUGGAUGUCCUGGUGCUUAAGCCUUUG
rnacentral:lncRNA from 1 species